ensembl:snoRNA SNORD83 Small nucleolar RNA SNORD83
GCCACAUGAUGUGAAACAGAUUGCAAUAGCACACGUGCAAAGAUGACUUACUAUCUAUCACCCUAGACUGAUGGCU